AACGAACGCUGGCGGCAGGCUUAACACAUGCAAGUCGAGCGCCCCGCAAGGGGAGCGGCAGACGGGUGAGUAACGCGUGGGAAUCUACCCAUCUCUACGGAAUAACGCAUGGAAACGUGUGCUAAUACCGUAUACGUCCUUCGGGAGAAAGAUUUAUCGGAGAUGGAUGAGCCCGCGUUGGAUUGGCUAGUUGGUGGGGUAAAGGCCUACCAAGGCGACGAUUCAUAGCUGGUCUGAGAGGAUGACCAGCCAUACUGGGACUGAGACACGGCCCAGACUCAUACGGGAGGAAGCAGUGGGGAAUAUUGGACAAUGGGCGCAAGCCUGAUCCAGCCAUGCCGCGUGAGAGAUGAAGGCCCUAGGGUUAUAAAGCUCUUUCACCGGUGAAGAUAAUGACGGUAACCGAAGAAGAAGCCCCGGCUAAGUUCGUGCCAGCAGCCGCCGUAACAC
rnacentral:rRNA from 1 species